AACUGGCGGCAGGCCUAACACAUGCAAGUCGAACGAAGUCUUCGGACUUAGUGGCGGACGGGUGAGUAACGCGUGGGAACAUACCCAAAGGUACGGAAUAGCCUCGGGAAACUGGGAGUAAUACCGUAUGUGCCCUUUCACUGUAGUGGUGGGAGGGGAAAGAUUUAUCGCCUUUGGAUUGGCCCGCGUUGGAUUANGUAGUUGGUGGG
rnacentral:rRNA from 1 species